rnacentral:lncRNA from 1 species
CGAGCCAGAUUUGAGUUGCCUGAAAGUGGAGCAAAGCAGUAGCAAGCCCAGCCUAUGCUGCAACUAAUUCAACAAAAGGAACAGUGACCUUAGGCAGCUGCUUCCCAUAUUCCCUCCCUUUGGGCCCAAAUAAAGGUAUGUUGGAGCUUAGAAGCACAAGAAGAUAUCUUGCUCCAAAUAGGAAAGACAUUAAAGAAAAUUGAG